GACGAACGCUGGCGGCGUGCUUAACACAUGCAAGUCGAACGGAAAGGCCCUGCUUUUGUGGGGAGCUCGAGUGGCGAACGGGUGAGUAACACGUGAGUUACCUGCCCUUGACUUUGGGAUAACCUCAGGAAACUGGGGCUAAUACCGGAUAGGAGCUCCUGCUGCAUGGUGGGGGUUGGAAAGUUUCGGCGGUUGGGGAUGGACUCGCGGCUUAUCAGCUUGUUGGUUGGGUAGUGGCUUACCAAGGCUUUGACGGGUAGCCGGGCUGAGAGGGUGACCCGACACAUUGGGACUGGACUGCGGCCCAGCCUACUACGGGACGCAGCAGUGCAGUAUGGUGCACAAUGGGCGGAAGCCUAAUGCAGCAACGCCGCGCGGGGGAUGACGGCAAUCCCGUUGUAAACCACUUUCGCCUGUGACGAAGCGUGAGUGACAGUAAUGGGUAAAGAAGCACCGGCUAACUACGUG
rnacentral:rRNA from 1 species